rnacentral:rRNA from 1 species
GACGAACGCUGGCGGCGUGCCUAAUACAUGCAAGUCGAGCGAGACUCUUCGGAGUCUAGCGGCGGACGGGUGAGUAACACGUGGGCAACCUGCCUGUAAGACUGGGAUAACACCGGGAAACCGGUGCUAAUACCGGAUAAUCCUUUUCCUCUCAUGAGGAAAAGCUGAAAGUCGGUUUCGGCUGACACUUACAGAUGGGCCCGCGGCGCAUUAGCUAGUUGGUGAGGUAACGGCUCACCAAGGCGACGAUGCGUAGCCGACCUGAGAGGGUGGUCGGCCACACUGGGACUGAGACACGGCCCAGACUCCUACGGGAGGUAGCAGUAGGGAAUCUUCCACAAUGGACGAAAGUCUGAUGGAGCAACGCCGCGUGAGCGAUGAAGGCCUUCGGGUCGUAAAGCUCUGUUGUUAGGGAAGAACAAGUACCGGAGUAACUGCCGGUACCUUGACGGUACCUAACCAGAAAGCCACGGCUAACUACGUGCCAGCCGCCGCCGUAACAC